rnacentral:lncRNA from 1 species
UUUUGAGCCAGCUCUGAUCAUUUCACCAGAUUUUGUCCCAAAAUGAUGUCAGCUUGGUUUGGUUCCUUUUUCUCCUUAGUAGUUUAUCUGUUAAUGGAUUUUGAUGUUUGGUGUCCAUGUGAUGCCCAGGAGUCUUGAAGAGGGUGUUUAAUCUUUUAUUCUUUCCUUUUUCUUUUCUUUUUUUUUUUCUCAGCCUCCCAAAGUGCUGGGAUUACAAGCAUGAGCCACUGUGGCUGGCC